rnacentral:rRNA from 1 species
UGGGGGAAACCCUGAUGCAGCCAUGCCGCGUGUGUGAAGAAGGCCUUCGGGUUGUAAAGCACUUUCAGUUGUGAGGAAAAGUUAGUAGUUAAUACCUGCUAGCCGUGACGUUAACAACAGAAGAAGCACCGGCUAACUCCGUGCCAGCAGCCGCGGUAAUACGGAGGGUGCGAGCGUUAAUCGGAAUUACUGGGCGUAAAGCGCACGCAGGCGGUUUGUUAAGCUAGAUGUGAAAGCCCCGGGCUCAACCUGGGAUGGUCAUUUAGAACUGGCAGACUAGAGUCUUGGAGAGGGGAGUGGAAUUCCAGGUGUAGCGGUGAAAUGCGUAGAUAUCUGGAGGAACAUCAGUGGCGAAGGCGACUCCCUGGCCAAAGACUGACGCUCAUGUGCGAAAGUGUGGGUAGCGAACAGGAUUAGAUACCCUGGUAGUCCACACCGUAAACGCUGUCUACUAGCUGUUUGUGACUUUAAGUCGUGAGUAGCGAAGCUAACGCGCUAAGUAGACCGCCUG